rnacentral:sRNA from 1 species
CUACGGCACCGCAGGGCUGCAGAAACCCGGGGGCCAAGGGCGGGCUGCUUGCCGCUAUGGCUGGCAGUCAGGACAUAUUCGAUGCCAUCGUGAUGGCGGAUGAGAGGUGGGUGGUGAGGCCGGGCCCGCACCCCGCUCUGUCUGGUCGUCUCCCAGCGGCUUCGCCGCCGGCUGCGGCCCAGGGCGGCUGCUGGAGCCUGGCGUCCCUUGGGCGUGCGCAUUGGGGAGCGCCUGGUGGCCGUGGACGCAGGGACAAGUGUGGGCCUGAUGCUCUGGUCCUCUUCUCCUGGCCCGCUCCGGCGGGGCACGUGCCCAGCUGCUCUUCCAGACCCGCCUUCCCUGUCAGGGCUGCCCCAAGCAUCUGCUCAGCCUGGUGGUUCCCCUCCUCCGAGGCCGCCCCGUCCUCUGGGAGGGCAGACCUUUGCCAUCUGGGAGCUGCCUUUUUUUCUGGUUCCUUAAUCAUAGGACAUACGGCAGUAUUCAUGGAUGUGCUGAUAGAUGUACCCGACCACACCCCUUUUCCUCCAGAGCCCCUGGGGAGCCCCUCGUGCUGCGACAGUGGGGGAGCUGUGAGUUGCCUCCUGGCUGACUUCCAGUGCCCGGCCCAGAGGACACGUCCAUAGAUGUUAGUUAAGAAAGCGGCCGAACAUUUAGCAGUCAGUCGCUGACGUUUAUUUAGCUCGCGCUGUGAGUCAGACACAGAGCUAAACGUUCCACCCUGGUUAUCUACUUCAGCCCUACUUAGUUUCAUGGGGAAGGGUAUCGGGAAGGCUAUGAAGAAGGCAGUAGUUUGGGUGUGAUGGAGGGAAGGCAGCAUGGCACGCUGCAUGGAGCCAAAAUCGGG